rnacentral:lncRNA from 1 species
AUUGGCUAAAAUUUAUGAGGGAGUAUCUGUUCUUAUCAGCUUAAUAUCUGAUACGGCUUCCAUCGGAAGCCACGAUAUUAAACUGAUUUUUGGAACAGGACGGCUGCUCGGAGCUCGCUCCGACACCGUCACGGGUCGGCCCAGUAUUGCAGUACUUCUGGGAUCGGCCCACUCUUUUUAAAAUCAAAAAAUAGAUGAAAAUUGUAUUGUAUUAACAAAUUAAAAAUUAUUUUCAGAAAAAUAAUGUUUCUUUUGUAAAUACAUCGAAACCGAAACUUAUACGAUCUUCUACAGCUCUAAAUUCUUGAUUUUCCAGAAACCAACGACCAUACGAGCAACCGCGAUGGCGGAAUUAAUCAAAUUAAAGAAACCAUCUGCCGUUUCAACGAAAAACAGGAAUAGGAAAGAAAACAGCAAAGGGAAAAGUCCAGAAUGUGACGGCAAUUUGCAAACACCAGCCAGAAGAAUCGCGAAAAAGCAACGAGCAUACGAGCAAAGAAACCAUCUGCCAUUUCAAACACCAGCCAGAAGAAUCGCGAAAUUUUGGUGUUUCCCGGAAGGCAGCAGUUU